AACUUCUGAAUGUUGACCUCGGAUCAGGUAGGAAUACCCGCUGAACUUAAGCAUAUCAAUAAGCGGAGGAAAAGAAACCAACAGGGAUUGCCCUAGUAACGGCGAGUGAAGCGGCAACAGCUCAAAUUUGAAAUCUGGCUCUCGGGCCCGAGUUGUAAUUUGUAGAGGAUGCUUUUGAUGCGGUGCCUUCCGAGUUCCCUGGAACGGGACGCCAUAGAGGGUGAGAGCCCCGUCUGGUUGGAUGCCAAAUCUCUGUAAAGCUCCUUCGACGAGUCGAGUAGUUUGGGAAUGCUGCUCUAAAUGGGAGGUAUAUGUCUUCUAAAGCUAAAUAUUGGCCAGAGACCGAUAGCGCACAAGUAGAGUGAUCGAAAGAUGAAAAGCACUUUGAAAAGAGAGUUAAAAAGUACGUGAAAUUGUUGAAAGGGAAGCGUUUAUGACCAGACUUGGGCUUGGUUAAUCAUCUGGGGUUCUCCCCAGUGCACUUUUCCAGUCCAGGCCAGCAUCAGUUUUCGCCGGGGGAUAAAGGCUUCGGGAAUGUGGCUCUCUCCGGGGAGUGUUAUAGCCCGUUGCGUAAUACCCUGGCGGGGACUGA
rnacentral:rRNA from 1 species